GUAGGGUGCGAGCGUUAAUCGGAAUUACUGGGCGUAAAGCGUGCGCAGGCGGUUAUGUAAGACAGAUGUGAAAUCCCCGGGCUCAACCUGGGAACUGCAUUAGUGACUGCAUAGCUGGAGUACGGCAGAGGGGGAUGGAAUUCCGCGUGUAGCAGUGAAAUGCGUAGAUAUGCGGAGGAACACCGAUGGCGAAGGCAAUCCCCUGGGCCUGUACUGACGCUCAUGCACGAAAGCGUGGGGAGCAAACAGGAUUAGAUACCCUGGUAGUCCACGCCCUAAACGAUGUCAACUGGUUGUUGGGUCUUCACUGACUCAGUAACGAAGCUAACGCGUGAAGUUGACCACCUGGGGAGUACGGCCGCAAGGUUG
rnacentral:rRNA from 1 species